GCGCUUUGCUCAGUGGUUAGAGCAUCAGUCUGCAGACUGAAGGGUUGCUGGUUUGAUUCCCAGCCAAGGGCA
rnacentral:tRNA from 1 species